rnacentral:sRNA from 1 species
GCUGGGCAUGGCGGGGGCGCCUGUAGUCCCAGCUACUCGGGAGGCUGAGGCAGGAGAACGGCGGGAACCCGGAAGGCGGAGCUUGCAGUGAGCCGAGAUCCGCCACUGCACUCCAGCCUGGGCGACAGAGCGAGACUCCGCCUCAAAAAAAAAAAAAAAAAAAAAAAAGAAAAAGAAGUAAAAGGAAGUUUUUUGUUUGUUUUUUUGAGGCGGAGUCUCGCUCUGUCGCCCAGGUUGGAGUGCAGUGGCGCGAUCUCGGCUCACUGCAAGCUCCGCCUCCCGGGUUCUGGCCAUUCUCCUGCCUCAG